rnacentral:rRNA from 1 species
UACGGAGGGUGCAAGCGUUAUCCGGAUUCACUGGGUUUAAAGGGUGCGUAGGUGGGUUGAUAAGUCAGUGGUGAAAUCCCCGAACUUAACUUGGGAACUGCCAUUGAUACUAUUGAUCUUGAAUACCGUGGAGGUCAGCGGAAUAUGUCAUGUAGCGGUGAAAUGCUUAGAUAUGACAUAGAACACCAAUUGCGAAGGCAGCUGGCUACGCGAAUAUUGACACUGAUGCACGAAAGCGUGGGGAUCAAACAGG